GAGUUUGAUCCUGGCUCAGAUUGAACGCUGGCGGCAGGCCUAACACAUGCAAGUCGAGCGGCAGCGGGAAAGUAGCUUGCUACUUUUGCCGGCGAGCGGCGGACGGGUGAGUAAUGCCUGGGAAAUUGCCCAGUCGAGGGGGAUAACAGUUGGAAACGACUGCUAAUACCGCAUACGCCCUACGGGGGAAAGCAGGGGACCUUCGGGCCUUGCGCGAUUGGAUAUGCCCAGGUGGGAUUAGCUUGUUGGUGAGGUAAUGGCUCACCAAGGCGACGAUCCCUAGCUGGUCUGAGAGGAUGAUCAGCCACACUGGAACUGAGACACGGUCCAGACUCCUACGGGAGGCAGCAGUGGGGAAUAUUGCACAAUGGGGGAAACCCUGAUGCAGCCAUGCCGCGUGUGUGAAGAAGGCCUUCGGGUUGCAAAGCACUUUCAGCGAGGAGGAAAGGUUGGUAGCUAAUAACUGCCAACUGUGACGUUACUCGCAGAAGAAGCACCGGCUAACUCCGUGCCAGCAGCCGCGGUAAUCCC
rnacentral:rRNA from 1 species